rnacentral:lncRNA from 1 species
GGAAUCGGUAGCCUCCCGCCCAAGGUCUGCAGGCUUUCUUCCGUUCUUGGGCUCUUUGGGCCUCGCCCCUCCCUCUCACAUUCCCAACUCCCAAGGACAACUUGUCGCUGGCUUCAGACGCCCGCCCCGCCUGAGGUUUCCUUGUGUCCCGGACUCUGCUGUUUUCUUUUGUCUAAUUUGUCCAUUUCUGCACUUGGCAAUUUCUUCCGGAACUAACUUGAAUCUACUUCUCCCUUGUCUGUAAUAGUCAGUUUCUCUCUCUCUCUCUCUCUCUCUCUCUCUCUCUCUCUCUCUCUCUCACACACACACACACACACACCCCGUCUUCUUUUCUUCCUCCUAGCCAUCACUGGGUUUUCCAGCUGGCUCUGGCCUGUCCCUGGCACCUCCCCGCUACCUACUGAUCCGACGGCGCCCAAGGCGGUGUAGGCUGGUAAGAUUGCUCCCGGGAAGGAGGCUCCGGGAUGAUCCACGCGGCCGCGCCCCGCACCCACCGGCGGCGCCAGGGAGACGCAGAGUUCUCCAGAUCCUCCAAGCGCCUUCGGCGCCACCACACCAGACACUCACUGUUCACGAGGCCUCAAAGCGUGGAGGCGGUGGCCGAUUCCCCGGUGACCGCCAAUUUGGUCCCAAGACACUUCAGGAUCUCCCAACCGAUGGAGGACAGAGAGGUUCCAAGAGAGGGCGCCAAAGGCGACGCGCUGGCGGCCAGCUCCAAGCCAACCAGACCCAUUGCGUCCGUCUGCAGGAACCUGUCUCUUCACCCUGCUUUGGACACUGAGCUUCAGAGGAUCUGGCUGCGUGCUGAAUCAACGCCAGGGCGCCGCCUAGAGGACAAGAGGGGAUAUAAACUGUUUGAAGUUCAUCAGCACGGUGAAGUUUUAUUGUAUUUCCGGUCCCUAAGAUUUACACCCUGAAAAGAGAAGCCGGCAGCCUGGCAGACUCCCUCCAUACCUCCGAGUUUCCACGCCAGAGACACACAGUGGCCAAGCGGACACUUUGCUUUCCGGGAGCAGGGAGGGAGGGAGCCGGCUCCGACCGACUCUCCCUCAAAGGCUCAGGUAAGUCUAAGAGGCCUCUGAUAGUUGUGGUGACUGAGCCACAACCUGUGAGGAUGUGCGAAGUGACUUUGUAGGGAUGGAAGAGAGCGGGAGACA